UGGGGAAUCUUGGACAAUGGGGGCAACCCUGAUCCAGCGAUGCCGCGUGUGUGAAGAAGGCCUGCGGGUUGUAAAGCACUUUAGUUGGGGAGGAGAAGGUGCGUAUGAAUAGUGCGCGCUGGAGACGUUACCCAAAGAAUAAGCACCGGCAAACUCUGUGCCAGCAGCCGCGGUAAUACGUAGGGACCAAGCGUUGUUCGGAUUUACUGGGCGUAAAGGGCGCGUAGGCGGCGUAAUAAGUCACUUGUGAAAUCUCCGGGCUUAACUCGGAGCGGCCAAGUGAUACUGUUAGGCUAGAGUGCAGAAAGGGCAAUCGGAAUUCUUGGUGUAGCGGUGAAAUGCGUAGAUAUCAAGAGGAACACCUGAGGCGAAGGCGGGUUGCUAGGCUGACACUGACGCUGAGGCGCGAAAGCUAGGGUAGCAAACGGGAUUAGAUACCCGCGUAGUCCCUGAGCGGGCUGGCAAGGCGCAU
rnacentral:rRNA from 1 species